AGCAGUGGAACGUCUGUUACGUAACGUAAUUUGUGGCACUGUCAACACCGUUUGUACUUGCAAGCAACUUCUGGCCAAGGUGCAUUGGGAAAGGAUAGCCAGCUAGCUUGUUAACAAUGGCAACCAUGCGUCGUCCAAGGUACUCUCUCCGAGACUCUCUGUACUGGGAUGAGACUGAGUGCCUGACGUACUAUGGGAUGCUCUCUCUACACGAGAUGUUUGAAGUUGUCGGUUCUCAACUGACAGAGACAGACGUUGAGGUGCUGUCGUUCCUCUUGGAUGAGACCUAUCCGGCUGGAGGGCACCCCUUGGACCCAGCUGGCUGGACCAGUGAGCCCGGUGAGGAAGACCCUGAGGCCAGUAAAGGAGUCUCCCCCAGCCCAGUGCUCCUGGAGGCCUGGCGGCGGUUACAGCCCAAGGGUCCUGCCUUGGCCUGCCCUACUGCUGCCCGCCACAAGCCCAAGAGUGGUCUAGAACUGCUGUUGGAGCUGGAGAGACGUGGGUACCUCAGUGAGGGUAACCUGGAGCCCCUGUUGCAGCUGCUGCGAGUCCUGACACGACACGACCUCCUGCCUUUGGUGUCCCGCAAGAAAAGGAGGACAGUAUCACCAGAACGUUUCAGAGUGGACUACGGGACAGAGGACAGAAGACAGGUUUGCACAUCUGGACUGACUGACCCCUGUGCACAGACAGAAUCACAUGACGAACACACCACACAGCAAUGGAGGGGGGGUGUUGACUCUGCCAGGCCAACGCCCGCCCCCCUACGGAAGAAGAGGGGUAAAGGCCGCCGCUGGACCAGCAAGCCCACCGCCCACAGGAGAAGAACGGGCAUCCCCGAAACACCUCCCCCACCUAUACCUGAGAAAGUGACCUGCGACAUUCGUCUGCGUGUGCGAGCAGAAUACUGGGAGCAUGAGUCGGCUCUGCGCGGCGGGGUCUCCUCGGACAAGCAGCAGCCCCUGGAGCGGCAGUUUGAGCUGUUCAGUCGUGCCACCUCCGUGCUGCGCGCCCGCGACCUGGGCUCCAUCAUCUGCGACAUCAAGUUCUCAGAGCUGGACAACCUGGAGGCCUUCUGGGGGGACUAUCUGAGUGGAGCGCUGCUAGAGGCCCUGAAGGGGGUGUUCAUCACAGACUCUCUGCGGAGGGCGGCGGGGAGAGAGGGGGUCCGGCUGCUGAUCAGUGUGGACCAGGAUGACUACGAGGAGGGUCGCAGACUGCUGCUGGAUGCACAGGAACAACAGGCCGGCUGCUGGGGACGAGACAGGCAUCAGAGCCAUAUACACUACCUGGUCUCACGUUGUCAUACUUCCUAGACGCAACCUGAGAAAGCUGGUUAUGGACGUUCGGCUCUGACAGACAGACAGGCAGCUGUGCGAGGUCAUGAGCCCAAGGAUAGAGGAAUGAAAAGGAGAAUAAAACAUGAAAAGGAACAUUUUUAUUUUAUUUUCUCCUUUUUAAGUCUCUCAUGCUGAGAACAGAGAAUACAGCCACUCCUAGGUCAGGGGAAUAGUCCCCAGGGAAAACAGACAAACUUGAAGUGAAGGCAAACUGGACUAAAAGACUUGACACGCUGUUCUGUUUGGAAUUGAUAACACAAGUUGCGCUGAGCCUAGAUGCCCUCAGGGCACUGAGGAAGAGACUGCCUUUGUUACACACACACACAUACACAGAGACAAACUAAACUUCCACCUAAACUUCCACUGUAACACACACACAAACUACCACUAUCAAACAUACACGCUCUGUAAAAUCAUCCACACGAUGAACCAUCAGCGCUGCCUGUAAGACUCAUUGAAGCCUAGAGACAUUUCUUGCUAACAGUGACAGCUCAGAUACCAACUAGACUGUGCGCUAAUGCUGAGAAUCUCUGGUUAUGUUUGAGAAGCGUGUGAGAUGCCCUGCAAGGAGAACUUCACCCAUCUAAAUAUUAGUUUGCGUUUCCAUUGAAAUGUAUGAUUUUGAAAAGAUGAGCGAGACUGCAGCUCUCAGACACUGAGGGAGAGAUGAUGGGGAAAUGACUAAAGCAUGAGAUUAUGUUUUGACCUUUUGGGAGAGAAUUAGAAAUAGAUGGCGAAGGGAAGACUACCUGAGGACAGUGUAGUGGACAAAUUGCUGGUCCUUCGAGAACUCCAGUCCACACACACACACACACACACACACACACCAUGAUCACAAGCCACUGGUAGUCCCAUCACUGUGUCAUGCUAACCCAGGGCCUGAGAGCUGUGGUCAGUAGCCAUCUCAUCUCAGAUGCCAGGAGAUGAUGGGAGUGAUUACCUCUCAACCUCAGCCAACCAUGGAGAACUCAUCACAUCACCACAAGUUGUUGAACAGCAGCUGGGAUAACACACACUAGGCUGUGCUCACCCCGGCUUCCAGCAAGGCCACUGCCUUUCCCAUUGGAACUGGAGCACAGGACAGUGCUUCAGUCAAUAAAACUGAUGUGGAGGAGAUCAAAAUCAGAAGGAUACAUCCUAGUUCCACUCAGCCCUGCCUUGUAGGCCCCACUAGAGUGGCUCACAGAGCGCUGUCUGUCUCUAGUCUAGUCACCCUGGUGGAACUAAUGCCUGAACUCCUCUGAGUGGGAUCAAUAGCCCCCUCUGUCUCUUCACCACCACCAUGGGAGGAGAAAGAGUAAGGGGGAGAGGAGAGGAAGAAAUAGAGGAGAGGUAGGAGAAGGGGAAAGAGAGGAGAGGUAGGAGAAGGGGAAAGAGAGGAGAGGUAGGAGAAGGGGAAAGAGAGGAGAGGAAGGGGAAAGAGAGGAGAGGAAGGGGAAAGAGAGGAGAGGAAGGGGAAAGAGAGGAGAGGAAGGGGAAAGAGAGGAGAGGAAGGGGAAAGAGAGGAGAGGAAGGGGAAAGAGAGGAGAGGAAGGGGAAAGAGAGGAGAGGAAGGGGAAAGAGAGGAGAGGAAGGGGAAAGAGAGGAGAGGAAGGGGAAAGAGAGGAGAGGAAGGGGAAAGAGAGGAGAGGAAGGGGAAAGAGGAGAGGUAGGGGAAAGAGGAGAGGUAGGGGAAAGAGGAGAGGUAGGGGAAAGAGGAGAGGUAGGGGAAAGAGGAGAGGUAGGGGAAAGAGGAGAGGUAGGAGAAGGGGAAAGAGAGGAGAGGGAGGAGAAGGGGAAAGAGAGGAGAGGGAGGAGAAGGGGAAAGAGAGGAGAGGGAGGAGAAGGGGAAAGAGAGGAGAGGGAGGAGAAGGGGAAAGAGAGGAGAGGGAGGAGAAGGGGAAAGAGAGGAGAGGGAGGAGAAGGGGAAAGAGAGGAGAGGGAGGAGAAGGGGAAAGAGGAGAGGGAGGAGAAGGGGAAAGAGAGGAGAGGGAGGAGAAGGGGAAAGAGAGGAGAGGUAGGAGAAGGGGAAAGAGGACAGGUAGGAGAAGGGGAAAGAGAGGGAGAAGGAUCCCCACCUCCAUCCUGCCUUUCAGCUCCUGGACCUCCUGGACAGCCGCCUCAUCCUCUGGAGGAUAAGUCUCCUGAUGCAACCAGGCUGCCUGGUCUGCUACAGCACUGUGUCUGGUUCACACAGCCCUAUAGGACCAGGGAUGGAGGAAUAAGGAGGCAUUCAGGAAAACCUUAGUGUUUGCUUUUUCCGUGUUUUGGUAUAUGGAUUCGUUAGUGUAGCUUUGUAUUGUCCAUAAGAGAAAAUAACAAAAAUACUGUGUGUUCUAGUUCAUUAACUUAGGGUGAACUUUUGUUUAAGUAGCUGGAUAUUUUUAUUUAGGCACUGCAAAAGUGCUGUAUAUUAGUGGAAAGUUGGAAUUAUUUCAAAUAAAAAUAAAUGAUUUAUGAAAGGUUUAUUGCGUCUAUGAUGUACGUAACCGUGUCUUCAGAAAAUAUUCACACCCCUUGACUUUUUCCAUAUUUUGUUGUUACAGCCUGAAUUUUAAAUGUAUUAAAUUGAGAUGUGUCACUGGCCUACACACAAUACCCCAUAAUGUCCAAGUGGGAUAAUGUUUUUACAAAUGUAUUAAAAAUGAAAAGCUGAAA